UUCGUGCCAGCAGCCGCGGUAAUACGAAGGGGGCUAGCGUUGCUCGGAAUUACUGGGCGUAAAGGGCGCGUAGGCGGCUCUGUAAGUCAGGGGUGAAAUUCCUGGGCUUAACCUGGGGGCUGCGCUUGAGACUGCGGGGCUUGAGGUCAGAAGAGGGUCGUGGAAUUCCCAGUGUAGAGGUGAAAUUCGUAGAUAUUGGGAAGAACACCGGUGGCGAAGGCGGCGACCUGGUCUGAUACUGACGCUGAGGCGCGACAGCGUGGGGAGCAAACAGGAUUAGAUACCCUGGUAGUCCACGCCGUAAACGAUGUGCGCUGGAUGUUGGGGCCCUUAGGGCUUCAGUGUCGUAGCUAACGCGGUAAGCGCACCGCCUGGGGAGUACGGCCGCAAGGUUGAAACUCAAAGGGAAUUGACAGA
rnacentral:rRNA from 1 species